UACAGAGGUCUCGAGCGUUGUUCGGAUUCAUUGGGCGUAAAGGGUGCGCAGGCGGUUCUGCAAGUCAGGCGUGAAAGCCCCGGGCUUAACCUGGGAAUGGCGCUUGAAACUACAGGACUGGAGUAUGGCAGAGGGAGGUGGAAUUCCACGUGUAGCGGUGAAAUGCGUAGAGAUGUGGAGGAACACCGAUGGCGAAGGCAGCCUCCUGGGCCAAUACUGACGCUCAUGCACGAAAGCGUGGGGAGCAAACGGG
rnacentral:rRNA from 1 species